UUUCUUGUCUCAAAGAUUAAGCCAUGCAUGUCUAAGUAUAAGCAAUCUAUACAGUGAAACUGCGAAUGGCUCAUUAAAUCAGUUAUCGUUUAUUUGAUAGUACCUUACUACUUGGAUAACCGUGGUAAUUCUAGAGCUAAUACAUGCUAAAAAUCCCGACCUCCGGAAGGGAUGUAUUUAUUAGAUAAAAAACCAAUGCCUUCGGGCUCUUUGGUGAUUCAUGAUAACUUAACGAAUCGCAUGGCCUUGCGCCGGCGAUGGUUCAUUCAAAUUUCUGCCCUAUCAACUUUCGAUGGUAGGAUAGUGGCCUACCAUGGUUUCAACGGGUAACGGGGAAUUAGGGUUCUAUUCCGGAGAGGGAGCCUGAGAAACGGCUACCACAUCCAAGGAAGGCAGCAGGCGCGCAAAUUACCCAAUCCCGACACGGGGAGGUAGUGACAAUAAAUACUGAUACAGGGCUCUUUUGGGUCUUGUAAUUGGAAUGAGUACAAUUUAAAUCCCUUAACGAGGAACAAUUGGAGGGCAAGUCUGCCCC
rnacentral:rRNA from 1 species